GGACAUAUAGCUCAGUUGGUAGAGUGCUUGCCUAGCAGGCAUAAGGCCCUGGGUUUGAUCCCCAGCACCACCA
rnacentral:tRNA from 1 species